rnacentral:rRNA from 1 species
AAAUUGAUAAUUCAGUACAAAUGCUGAAAUAUUAACACAAGACGAGAAGACCCUGUGGAACUUUUAACUAACCUGCCAGCAGUAAUCAACCAACCAACCACCCCUAGCAGACAGUUUAAGUUGGGGCAACUACGGAGCACAACAAAACCUCCAUGAAACACGAAUACCAUUCGUCACCAAGGCCCACACGCCAACACAUUAAGCUUGACCCAGUAAAACUGAAUUUCGAACCAAGCUACCCCAGGGAUAACAGCGCAAUCCCCUUCAAGAGUCCCUAUCGCCAAGGGGGCUUACGACCUCGAUGUUGGAUCAGGACACCCCGGCGGUGCAGCCGCUGCCAAAGGCUCGUUUGUUCAACGAAUAAUGUCCU